rnacentral:miRNA from 1 species
UGUGUGUGUGUGUGUGUGUGCGCGUGUGUGUGUGUGUACACACACACACACACACACACACAUACACACU